UGGGGAAUAUUGCACAAUGGGCGAAAGCCUGAUGCAGCCAUACCGCGUGGGUGAAGAAGGCCUUAGGGUUGUAAAGCCCUUUCAGUUGGGAAGAAAAACUCAGGGUUAAUAGCCCCGUUUUUUGACGGUACCGACAGAAGAAGCACCGGCUAACUCCGUGCCAGCAGCCGCGGUAAUACGGAGGGUGCGAGCGUUAAUCGGAAUUACUGGGCGUAAAGCGCGCGUAGGCGGUUUAGUCAGUCAGAUGUGAAAUCCCCGGGCUUAACCUGGGAACUGCAUUUGAAACUACUAGGCUAGAGUGUGGUAGAGGGAAGUGGAAUUCCGAGUGGAGCGGUGAAAUGCGUAGAGAUUCGGAGGAACACCAGUGGCGAAGGCGACUUCCUGGACCAACACUGACGCUGAGGUGCGAAAGCGUGGGGAGCAAACAGG
rnacentral:rRNA from 1 species